rnacentral:tRNA from 1 species
GCGGAUGUGGCGGAAUUGGUAGACGCGCAGCGUUGAGGUCGCUGUGGGCUAACCCCCGUGAAGGUUCGAGUCCUUUCAUCCGCACCA